UACAUUUAGACUGCUGAUCCAUUUAGAGCUGAUCCUGGUGUUUGGGAAAUGUAGAUCCAACUUUUACUCUUUCAAAUGGCUUUCCGGUUGUUCCAACUCCAUUUGUUACAAAGGCUGUAUUUUCACUGAUGAUUUGACAGGCCACCUUUAUUACACACCAAAUAGCUGUCUGCACGUUUCUGGACCCAUAUCCUGUUUCUGUAUAUGCCUGGCUCUGAACGUUAUAUCCAGCCACAUCUGUCACUCUUUCAACUACAGAGCUUUCCUGAUGCGAGUCGCUACCUGGUGCGGGGCAGUCUCCUCAUCGCUCCUCUCUUUCAGGGUUUUCCUGGCUUUCUCUGCUUCUUUAUUUUCCCAUAUGAACUUGAGAGUCAACUUGUCUAACUCUAAAAAAAAAAAAGUGCUGGUAUAUUUGUUAGAAUCAUACUGAGUUUACCUGUGGUGAAUUAACAUUGCUUCCUGAUUUAGCUGUCCUCUCUGAAGGGGAGCAGAACAUGCCACCCCAAAAUGUGCCCCCCUGGCGUGUGCAUUAUUUUGAGCAGAAGGCAACCAAGACCCAGCAGACUCAGGAAAACCUUUAACCUCUCCCUUAACUGCCUAAAAGAAUGUAGAUAGGGGGCCUAGCCCAGAAAGAGAGCUGUGACCAGAGAUAACUUUUCACCUGAAAGACUUACCUGCACAGUGGGGCAGACAUCUGCUCUCCUUACGGUCCAGUGAAUGCCCCCACGCCCCGCCCCGUGAAGCCCCGCCCCACCCCAUUCCUUAGCUCAGGAUGGCAUAUAAGCCUCAACUGCCUGUCUGUCUUUGGGUCUUAUAUUUUCAUGGGACUCCCAUAUAUGAAACUAAAUUUGUCUUUCUUCUGUUAAUCUAUCUUAUGUCAAUUCAACUAUUAGACCAGCCAAAGAACCCAGACAAGUAGAAGGGAAACUCUGACGGUCCCCUGCACAGCUGAGAACAGGCUCUGUCUAUUUACUCAAAUAUAUUUUUUUGUUUUUCAGGACUGUUGAAGGUUUCUUCAUAGAAAAUUGGCAUAUUUAUUAUUUAGUUUACUCCUAGUUAUUUUAUCUUUCCGGUGAUAUUAUAAGUUUCGGCUUCCCUGGUGGAGCAGUGGUUGAGAGUCUGCCUGCCGAUGCAGGGGACGCGGGUUCGUGCCCCGCUCCGGGAGGAUCCCACGUGCUGCGGAACGGCUGGGCCCGUGAGCCAUGGCCGCUGAGCCUGCGCGUCCGGAGCCUGUGUUCCGCAGUGGGAGAGACCGCAGCGGUGAGAGGCCCACGUACCGCAAAAAGAUAAAAAAUUAAAAAAAUAAAAAAUAAAUAAAAAUAGGUUUACUUGGCAGGGAGACCUAGGCAGGGGUUCUGUAGACCAGUAUUCUCUACCACCCUGUCUGGAUUCAAAUUAGGUUGGAGAACUGUUUCCAAAUUAUGUAGGCUAAAAAUCCUAGGCUCAGUAUCCUUCUAGAAAGAUUUCUCUUAGCAUAAAGUUGUCGAAUGCAUAUUUAUCACAUUUUCAUAACUUAAUAUCUUAACAGGCUUUUAAUGAAAAACAGAAUCAAACCCAAAAGUAAUCAGAUAUUUAAAAAUAGAUGAUGUGAGCACACAAUUGAAGAACUACUCCGAUCACAGGUCGUGUGUGACAAAGGCCUGGGUCUCAAUUGUCUCUAACCAAGCAUGAAACACCAGCUUGAUGUGGUUUCACUGGAAAUGCUUACGAGAUUUCCACCCCCCCCCAUUAGCCACUGAUUUACAGAGGGAAGAGGUUGCUGGCAUUCUUUAAACAAGACCCCUGGCAAACAGGCUCCAGAGCCUCACGGCUGAAGAUCUAAAGGUCAUCACUCCACCGUUCCUCAGAGCGCUUCCGUGCUUUUUCUCCGCUCUUCCUGAUUCCUGUUGUUCAGUCAUUAACUCGCCGAUGGAGAGUGUCACACUCUCUCUGGACCACAGGCCACGAGGAGGAUGGAAAGGCAAGGAACUCCUGCGUCUCACCCGCAUCUUCGUUUCCCUCAAGGCUUUUCCGUGUUUGGACCUUCACUCACAGAAUGAGCCAUGGUCUUUCAUCUAAUGGCUCAGCUGAAAGUUGCAUUUUCCAGCCUGACACGUUAACCCAGCACCUGAAGGACAGGUGCCCAGAGAGAAGCUGACUUUCUCAUCUGGUCGGGAAUCACCUGGGAGAUCCAUUUCACAAUGCAACGCAGAGCGAGAUGAACCAGAACCUGCUGUCUGGGAUAGGGUAUGCGAGGGUGCAGCUGACCCUGGCAGCCUUGCCCUGAGGCCCCAGGUCACUGCUGAAGGGAGCUGGAUGAAUCUGCAUGAGGAACUCAAGAACUGCCUCCUCAGAUGCCAAAUUAGCAGACCUAGUGGCUUGACCAGAGCAGUCCUGAUGGGGCCCUGUGGCGACGAAGCUGCUCAAACUAAACAAGCAAACAAAAAAGAAACUGUGGCGAGCAGGGCUCAGCUGUCACGAGGCCACUUUCAGCCAGUCUGUGCUGCCUGGGGAGCACCAAGACCCCCCAGCUGCUGCCCCCAUGGCACGGGGGCUGGAAUGGGACCUGCUUUACAGAGCAGUGGCCUUGGAGAUCCAGGAGGGUGCCUUCUCGGCCAGGCUUAGUGCUCGGGGAGUGGGAUGCCCUUGAAGACUCACUGGGUUUCCCACAAAGGGCAGGGGGUUUGAUUGCAAAACGCAGGCUUGGGUACGUUGACCUGAAGCAAAUAGAUGGCCAGGUUUUCUCCAGCAAAGAUGCGUGUAUUCAGGAUCAGCAGAGAAUUGCAAUUCGGGGGCUCAACCACGGCAGCCACGUGCAAGUGCCCACGCGGCAGAGGAAGGAGACACUUAUAGGCGGGACAAGGGAGGAGGCGGGCUUAGUAAACAGAGCCGCAGCCUUUCAUUGGCUGAGUCCUGGAGGGAAAGAGUGGGAGUCUUUCUUCUGUUGAGCUGAUCUGUCAGUGCAGGGGUAAGAGCGCCCCCUGCUGGUCUCCCGACUCUGUUUAACAGGUUUCCGUUCAUUCAUGUUUUACAGCAGUCACAGGACAAAAGCCAAAAGGGACAUGAGAUAUGCAUUUUCAUUAUUCCUGCGUGGGGAGGGUGGUCAGAACAUUGUCCUUUUUAAACAAAGCAAGUGGUUCCAGCAUAUUCUAGACUCCCAUCCAGCCUGAGGUAGAGGACCUCAGCCCCUCAUCAGGAAGAAGGGCAAGGGUCGAGGGAGGGGCUCCAUCAUCCGCCCCUCUGUCAUUCUGCCGCCUUCCCCUCCCCGACCCCAACUGCCACCAGCACACAUGCUUCCUCUCUCUUCCCAGGGCCAUCCCACCUCCAAGGCAACGUGAGACCUGCACGAGGACCCUGGGGCGCUCUCCUCCUGUGGGCUGUCUGAGCAGCACCACGGCCAGGUCCUGGGGUCAUCUACGGCGUUAUUCCUGGCGAAACUUGAUGUUUGCGCAUCGCCUUUAAUAACUUUAUUACCUGAACCACCCAGCAUGCAUGAAAUGGCAACCGUGACGCACUAGCUGGUGCUGUGACUGUUUAUUCAUUCCACAAACUUUUAUUGAGCACCUACUCUAUAGACCAGGAGUUACACUAGGGUCUGGAGACGUCGUGGUAGGGGACGCGGUCCCUGGCCUCACGAUACCAGAUAGAUAUUGUGAGAUAAUAGAAAAAAUGUGCACUGGAGUCUGCCACCGGUUCCUGGCACAGGGCUCCGGAGCCCUUGUAAUUUCCUAAGUGAUGAGAACACGAGGAGCAUCUCUUGUUCUAAUAUUUGGUCUUUGAUCCCCGUUCCUGACACAGAGCUCCUGAAACCCUGGUAAUAUCCUGGGUGAUAGGAGUGUCUUUUGUUCUAAUGAGGUGACUCUGGGCGGGCUCCUGGUUGAGGGCUGCUCACUGGAAAGACCCACCCGUGAUUAGAAGCUUGGAAUCUUCAGCCCCACCACCCCACAUUCUCUUGAGAAGGGAGAAGAUCUGAAAAAUGGAAUUAAUAAUGGAUCAUGCCCACGUGAGGAAGCCUCCGUACGUAAAAUCCCACUAGCGUGGGGUUCAGAGAGCUUCCAGGCUGCGGAGAGUCCCUGAAGAAUUCCGAGCUGUGGGGUCACGGAAGCAGAGUUAUGCAUCGGGAAAACGGCUCUGCAGCAACGCAGACAGAUGGGAUGCAGAGGUCGGGAGUAUCUGGGCCGCCAUGCUUCAGGUGAAAGGUGGCAGGUGAUUCCCCUCGAUGACUCCCCGCAAACCAAGUAUCUCAGUUUAAUGUUAACUUUUCAAAAAAAAGAAAAAAGAAAACCUCUCAACAAAGAAAAGUCCAGGACCAGGUAGCCCACUGGUGAAUUCUAACACUGAGCCUUCUCAAA